AAAAUGCCCAAUUCAAAUACACAACUACCAAUAUACACUGCAGAACCAAUGAACACGCAGACCCAGUUGGAAGGAGAAGAUGAAGAUAUAGCUGGAGGUGGUGAGGAAUCCAUAGACAACCCUAACAUCCACUAUGAAAACGUCACUGGAAAUGGAGGUGGUGUAGAUGAUGUCCCCCCUAGUGUUAUUCGCGUUACUGGUGGACCAGAUUAUCCUUUGGUCCCUGUAAAUGGUGGCGAUGCUGACCAGCUCACCCUGUCUUUUCAGGGUGAGGUAUAUGUGUUUGAUGCUGUUUCCCCAGAUAAGGUGCAGGCAGUGCUGUUACUUCUAGGUGGAUAUGAAAUCCCUUCUGGCAUUCCCACCACUGGGACAGCCCCUCACAACUUUAGGGGUCCAAGUGACUUGUGUGGAAGUUCAUUUCAGCCUCAGAGGGCAGCUUCUUUACGUCGGUUCAGGGAGAAGAGAAAGGAGCGUUGUUUUGAUAAGAAAAUCCGUUACACUGUCCGGAAAGAAGUUGCACUUAGGAUGCAGCGUAAGAAGGGACAAUUUACUUCAUCCAAGGCUAGUUCUGACGAAGCAGGCUCAGCUUCUUCUGGCUGGAGUGCAACUCAGGGUUCUGGACAAGAUGACAACAUGCUAGAAACUUUAUGCACUCAUUGUGGAACCAGUUCAAAGUCAACUCCAUUGAUGCGUCGUGGGCCAGCAGGUCCAAGAACCCUUUGUAAUGCGUGUGGGCUGAAGUGGGCUAACAAGGGAAUCUUGAGAGACCUUUCCAAGGUGUCAAGCUUAGCUAUUCAAGGUCCUCCUGCAAAGCCAACUGAACAGAGCGGAGGUGAAGCUAAUGGCCUGGAAGUUGUAACCAUGGCAGCAGAUAUAGUCACAUCUUCUAACGGCAAUAAUUCAACUUUGACUGCUGAAACAUGAUUUGAUAAUUGCAUCCAUUGCAGCAAAUGCGAUUUGAUGUCAGAAAGCAUGAGUCCCAGAUUUGAACGUGCAAGCGGAUAAGAUGAUUACCUUGCAGCAAGUGACAUUCAGACAUUUGAAAACAGAUUCACAGCCUGUGUAAUAACUUUCUGCUUUGCUUCAAACAACUGUACAUAUAAUUUGGAGCCUCUUGUCAUAAUAUACAAUAUGUAAACUGUUUCGAAGCAUUUGUGCACAUAAGCUUCGAAUAGAAGAUAAAAUGUAACCUUUUGGUUUCUCUUACAAAGUUAUUCAAGCUGAAAACAGGCAGCAAGGUUCUUGGUA
rnacentral:misc_RNA from 1 species